AUUGAACGCUGGCGGCAUGCCUUACACAUGCAAGUCGAACGGCAGCACGGGGCAACCUGGUGGCGAGUGGCGAACGGGUGAGUAAUGCAUCGGAACGUACCUUUCAGUGGGGGAUAACGUAGCGAAAGUUACGCUAAUACCGCAUAUUCUGUGAGCAGGAAAGCAGGGGAUCGCAAGACCUUGCGCUGAUUGAGCGGCCGAUGUCAGAUUAGCUAGUUGGUGAGGUAAAGGCUCACCAAGGCGACGAUCUGUAACGGGUCUGAGAGGAUGAUCCGCCACACUGGAACUGAGACACGGUCCAGACUCCUACGGGAGGCAGCAGUGGGGAAUUUUGGACAAUGGGGGCAACCCUGAUCCAGCCAUGCCGCGUGAGUGAAGAAGGCCUUCGGGUUGUAAAGCUCUUUCGGCCGGGAAGAAAUCGCACGGGCUAAUACCCUGUGUGAUGACGGUACCGGAAUAAGAAGCACCGGCUAACUACGUGCCAGCCGCCGCGGUAAGAC
rnacentral:rRNA from 1 species